AUUGGAUUAAUGUUCAAACACAAUUUUUAUGAUAUAGAAAUGGUAUCACAAAGAUAAAUGGACCGAUCGAAGAAAAUAAUCACUUUGAUUGUGGCAUCUGCACUCAAUAAUUUUCAAUUUGACUGACACUCAUGCACAGCCUAAAGCUCACACCAUCCAAACCAGGGAACCACUGCUCACUGGAAAGCCCGUUAACCAUAAAAAGAACAUGAAAAAGAUUGUAUAAUGUCAAAACAAAGUUUUUGAUGGACAAAUUUUUAUUCCAAGAUGGCCUAGCUUUCCAAAAGUUUACACCUAAUAUGAGUGGGAUAUUUUGAACAAAAUCAUCAUCAUUUA
rnacentral:misc_RNA from 1 species